rnacentral:tRNA from 1 species
GUUGUGUGAUCCAGUGGAUGAGUCUCUGGACUGUGAAUCCAAGGUACGGGGUUCGAAUCCCUGCCACAACA